UACGGCCAUAUCACAUUGAAAACUGGUUCUCAUCUAAUCACCAAAGUUAAGCAACUUUGAGCCUGCUCAGUACCAAGAUGGGUGGCCUCUUGGGAAUACCAGGUGCUGUAAG